rnacentral:rRNA from 1 species
UGACCUCAGAUCAGUUAGGGAUACCCGCCUGAACUUAA